rnacentral:rRNA from 1 species
GGACGGGGGGGUGCUAUACAUGCAAGUCGAACGCUUCUUUUUCCACCGGAGCUUGCUCCACCGGAAAAAGAGGAGUGGCGAACGGGUGAGUAACACGUGGGUAACCUGCCCAUCAGAAGGGGAUAACACUUGGAAACAGGUGCUAAUACCGUAUAACAAUCGAAACCGCAUGGUUUUGAUUUGAAAGGCGCUUUCGGGUGUCGCUGAUGGAUGGACCCGCGGUGCAUUAGCUAGUUGGUGAGGUAACGGCUCACCAAGGCCACGAUGCAUAGCCGACCUGAGAGGGUGAUCGGCCACAUUGGGACUGAGACACGGCCCAAACUCCUACGGGAGGCAGCAGUAGGGAAUCUUCGGCAAUGGACGAAAGUCUGACCGAGCAACGCCGCGUGAGUGAAGAAGGUUUUCGGAUCGUAAAACUCUGUUGUUAGAGAAGAACAAGGAUGAGAGUAACUGUUCAUCCCUUGACGGUAUCUAACCAGAAAGCCACGGCUAACUACGUGCCAGCAGCCGCGGUAAUACGUAGGUGGCAAGCGUUGUCCGGAUUUAUUGGGCGUAAAGCGAGCGCAGGCGGUUUCUUAAGUCUGAUGUGAAAGCCCCCGGCUCAACCGGGGAGGGUCAUUGGAAACUGGGAGACUUGAGUGCAGAAGAGGAGAGUGGAAUUCCAUGUGUAGCGGUGAAAUGCGUAGAUAUAUGGAGGAACACCAGUGGCGAAGGCGGCUCUCUGGUCUGUAACUGACGCUGAGGCUCGAAAGCGUGGGGAGCAAACAGGAUUAGAUACCCUGGUAGUCCACGCCGUAAACGAUGAGUGCUAAGUGUUGGAGGGUUUCCGCCCUUCAGUGCUGCAGCUAACGCAUUAAGCACUCCGCCUGGGGAGUACGACCGCAAGGUUGAAACUCAAAGGAAUUGACGGGGGCCCGCACAAGCGGUGGAGCAUGUGGUUUAAUUCGAAGCAACGCGAAGAACCUUACCAGGUCUUGACAUCCUUUGACCACUCUAGAGAUAGAGCUUCCCCUUCGGGGGCAAAGUGACAGGUGGUGCAUGGUUGUCGUCAGCUCGUGUCGUGAGAUGUUGGGUUAAGUCCCGCAACGAGCGCAACCCUUAUUGUUAGUUGCCAUCAUUCAGUUG